GACCCGGCCGCCUGCGCCUCCUCCGGUGCGGCUCUUUCCGCGCGCACGGCCCGGGCGCUGAGCGCCCCCGCGGGCCACGGAGGGCCGGGCGGGUAGGGAGCGGGGUCUUGGGUCCCGGUUGAAGCCGAGGAGAUCACGGAUAGGCCGUGAGCUUGCACCGGACCGGCGCUCCCACCUACGGGACCCAGAGCUGUGAGGAAGUCAGCCUCUGGACUGGGGUCGCCUCGCCCCUGUCGCGCCCUCCCGGGCUCGGCCACUCUGCCCUUCCCUGCCCCAGCGCAGAGGUUUCUUCUGCCUGCAUAGUCUCUAUCAGGAAUUGACUACAUAAUUUGCAGGGCUGAGUACAGGAUGAACAUGUGGAGUCCCUUGUUCAGCAUUUGUUAAACAAUUCCACUACAGGCUGGGUGCAAUGGCUCACGCCUGUAAUCCCAGCACUUUGGGAGGCCAAGGUCUUUGGGGAAGGAUCAACAAAGAGCUAUGUGUUUAGUCUACCAUCCUUAACCGGAAGUCUGGGAAAUAAUUCUUUACAAAAAUAGGGGCUUUGUUAUGCACCUAAAGCCAUAUUGGAAGCUCCAGAAGAAAGAGCACCCCCCGGAAGUCAGCAGGGAAACGCAGAGAACUCCUAUGAACCACCAAAAGGCUGUAAAUGAUGAAACAUGCAAAGCUAGCCACAUAACACCAAGUGUCUUUCCUUCAGCCUCUCUCGGUAAAGCAUCAUCUCGAAAGCCAUUUGGGAUCCUUUCUCCAAAUGUUCUGUGCAGUAUGAGUGGGAAGAGUCCUGUAGAGAGCAGCUUGAAUGUUAAAACCAAAAAGAAUGCACCAUCUGCAACGAUCCACCAGGGCGAAGAAGAAGGACCACUUGAUAUCUGGGCUGUUGUGAAACCUGGAAAUACCAAGGAAAAAAUUGCAUUCUUUGCAUCCCACCAGUGUAGUAACAGGAUAGGAUCUAUGAAAAUAAAAAGUUCCUGGGAUAUUGAUGGGAGAGCUACUAAGAGAAGGAAAAAAUCAGGGGAUCUUAAAAAAGCCAAGGUACAGGUGGAAAGGAUGAGGGAGGUUAACAGCAGGUGCUACCAACCUGAGCCUUUUGCAUGUGGCAUUGAGCACUGUUCUGUGCACUAUGUGAGUGACAGUGGGGAUGGAGUCUAUGCUGGGAGGCCUCUGUCAGUUAUACAGAUGGUUGCCUUCUUGGAGCAAAGAGCCAGUGCUCUGCUAGCUAGCUGUUCAAAAAACUGCACAAACUCACCUGCAAUUGUGAGGUUUUCUGGCCAAUCCAGAGGUGUGCCUGCAGUGUCUGAGUCCUAUUCUGCCCCAGGAGCUUGUGAAGAACCCACAGAAAGGGGAAAUCUUGAGGUUGGUGAACCACAGAGCGAACCAGUCCGUGUCCUUGACAUGGUAGCCAAGUUGGAGUCUGAGUGCCUGAAGCGGCAGGGCCAGCGUGAGCCUGGGAGCCUCUCAAGGAAUAACAGCUUCCGUCGAAAUGUGGGCAGAGUAUUGCUUGCAAAUAGCACUCAGGCUGAUGAAGGUAAAACAAAGAAAGGCGUCUUGGAGGCACCUGACACUCAGGUGAAUCCUGUGGGGUCUGUAUCUGUGGAUUGUGGCCCUUCAAGAGCUGAUCGUUGUUCUCCUAAGGAGGACCAGGCCUGGGACGGUGCUUCUCAGGACUGCCCCCCAUUGCCAGCAGGAGUGAGUUUCCACAUAGACAGUGCAGAGUUAGAGCCGGGUUCGCAAACUGCCGUGAAAAACAGCAACAGAUAUGAUGUGGAAAUGACAGAUGAACUCGUUGGGUUACCUUUUUCCUCUCAUACCUAUUCCCAAGCCUCUGAAUUGCCCACAAAUGCUGUUGAUUGUAUGAGCAGAGAGCUUGUGUCGCUUACUAGCCAAAAUCCUGAUCAAAGAAAAGAAUCUUUGUGCAUUAGUAUCACUGUGUCCAAGGUAGACAAAGACCAGCCUUCCAAUUUAAACUCCUGUGAAGACCCAGUUCCAGGGAUGUUGUUUUUUUUGCCACCUGGUCAGCACUUGUCAGACUAUUCCCAGUUGAAUGAAAGCACAACAAAAGAGUCUUCAGAGGCCAGCCAGCUUGAAGAUGCUGCUGGGGGUGACAGUGCAUCUGAGGAAAAAAGUGGGUCUGCUGAGCCAUUUGUACCGCCAGCCUCUUCUGUGGAAAGUACAUUACCAGUGCUUGAGGCAUCCAGUUGGAAGAAGCAGGUGUCGCAUGACUUCCUGGAGACCAGGUUUAAAAUCCAGCAGCUUUUGGAGCCUCAGCAGUACAUGGCUUUUCUGCCCCACCACAUUAUGGUAAAAAUCUUCAGGUUACUUCCCACCAAGAGUUUAGUGGCCCUUAAAUGUACCUGCUGCUAUUUCAAGUUUAUCAUUGAGUACUACAAUAUCAGGCCAGCAGAUUCUCGCUGGGUUCGAGAUCCACGCUAUAGAGAGGAUCCUUGCAAACAGUGCAAGAAAAAGUAUGUGAAAGGGGAUGUGUCCCUGUGCCGAUGGCACCCCAAGCCGUAUUGCCAGGCAUUGCCCUAUGGGCCAGGGUAUUGGAUGUGCUGCCACCGGUCUCAGAAAGGAUUCCCUGGUUGUAAGCUGGGGCUUCAUGACAAUCACUGGGUUCCUGCCUGCCACAGCUUUAAUCGGGCAAUCCAUAAGAAAGCAAAAGGGACUGAAGCUGAAGAGGAAUACUAAAGUCCAUGUGAGAGGCAACAAAAGGACCGGUUUUUAAAGCUGCAAAACACCUAGAUACACUGUUCAAAUGAGCGUAGCCCCCUGAGUCAUCACUCUAGAAGAAUCUGUACAUCAUCAGGACUGCAUUGCUCAGGCAUUUUCUAAACUCUAAAUUUACGAGCUGUACAAAAAAAUUGGUCUUGUUGUUUAUAGUGGCAUCUCAUGUUUGAACCCGGGUGGUAUCCCACAGUUGGAUUCAGUUGGCUGUGAAUAACUCUGCCUGUUUUCCUAAAUCAAACCCAUCCUCAAAGGAUGAAGACUCACCACCAUCCAGGACAUUCAGAAGAGUUCACUGCAGAUGCUGCAGGUUUAAAGGAGAUCAACAUAAAGGACCUAGAGUACAGCUUGCCUGUAAACGUCAGCUAUGGCUGACAUUGACUAUGGCUCUACAUUGGCCCAGCGUGGACACUGGAUAAACAACUCUCUUGGUUGGUUUUCACAAAUCAGCCACUCUUGAUCUGGUUUUCAUGUGGGACACAAAGCUGUGACUGCGUGAGGGGUUAAAGUGACCAAGAGCGGAGGGCACACCCUUACUUGAUCAUUUGAAGCAAAAGCCAGAACCAGGGAAACUAGAGGAGGAGUCAGGGAGCUGCUGCUCCUAUUCCUGGAGUGGUUCACCUCUCCCCUGCCCAGUGGAUGGUCCAGACCCAAGGAAGGAGUGAUUUGAAAACUAAGGAGGGGCUCAGGUAAGAGUAACAUUUGCUUUUUUAGGCUCUCUUAAAUGACUCCAGGUUAAAACAGACAUACGAGAGGACUGUUCAAACCCUAAGCACGUUGGUGGCUCUGUGCUUAGGAGAUACCUCUUUUGGAACCCAACCCUAUGCCCCUGCUUGGCUGGGUGCCUUUCAGCGCCCUCUGCACAUCUGCCACCACAUGCCCCUCUUCUUGUCUGUCACCGUAUCUUUGGCCCUCCCCAUCUGUAGGUUCUGCAUCGCAGAUUCAACCAGCCUCAGAUUUAAAAUACUCAGAAAAAAACAUCGUGUUUGUACUGAACAUACACACUUUUUUUUCUUGUCAUUAUUCCCUAAACAAUACAAGCAUAACAACUGUUUACAUUAGGUAUUAUAAGCAAUCUAGAGGUGAUUUAAAGUAGAUGGGAGGCUAUGCAUUGGUUAUAUGCAAAUACUAAGCCAUUUUCCAUCAGGGACUUGAGCAUCUGCAGAUACCGAGGGACCACUGUGGAGCUUGCCCACCCACUGCACUCAACUCAGAGGGCGUCGCCCACAGUGCCUCACACAACACACUCUGUAAAAUGUGUGCAUUCCUCUCGAGUGACCAUUUUAAUGUGAGGGGUGCUUCCAGGACCUGACUGCUCUGGGCCAUAAUUUUCUGUUUAGUAUGAGAAACCUGACAGGGAGGUAAAGGGGUCUUGGAGGACCUUGUCCUCUGGCCAUAGCUGGUCUCAUGGGAGCAUCCUUGGUGGAAACUCCCACUGCAGCUAUGUGGGGUUUGCUCGGUACCUCUCAUUGUGCAUCUGGUAUAACCUCAGUUCUGUUAGCACCAGUAGUAGCUCCCCUAGCAGCAGGCUCUGAGCAGGUGGUUAUGUUAUGACCUAGAGGUUGCCUUCCUGGGCUUUGUCCAAUCACCGCUUCUAACUUGGACUUGUCAGUACCUUUGUGCCAACCUUUUUGGACCAGCUUGGGACACUGUUUUUAUGUGAGUGUUCCCAGGUAUUUUCCAUAGCUCCAUUCCUUCUUCACGCAGCAGUCUGGCUGUUUGUCCUCCUUUAUCUACAGCCUGAUUCAAAAACAUGAAAUUAGCCUGCACACUGCGAGCCCUUCUUUUGUGUACACCACCGACUAAACCAAUGAGAGCUGAUGUUAUCUAGCUGUACGUCGGGUAUGCCUCGUUUAAAGGCAUUCUCUACUGUGCAGUGUCUGACACUUGGGGAAUCUGAUUGUUUCUGGGGUUUGUUUGUUUUGAGAUAGAGUCUUGCUCUGUCGCCCAGACUGGAGUGCGGUGGUGCGAUCUCAGCUCACUGCAACCUCAGCCUGCCGGGUUCAAGUGAUUCUUCUGCCUUAGCCUCCCGAGUAGCUGGGACUACAGGCAUGCGCCACCACGUGGGCCCAGCUGAUUUUUUUUUUUUAAUUUUUACUAGAGAUGGGGUUUCACCAUAUUGGCCAGGCUGGUCUUGAACUCCUGACCUUGUGAUCCACCCACCUCAGCCUCCCAAAGUGCUGGGAUUACAGGCGUGAGCCACCGUGCCUGGCUGCUUCUGGUGUUUUGAGAUGGGGUCUCUCGCUCAGGCUGGAGUGCAGUGGCAUGAUCUCGACUCAUUGCAGCUUCAACCUCUUGGGCUCAAGUGGUUCUCCUGCCUCAGUCUUCCGAGUAGCUGCAACUACAGCUGCAUGUCACUAUGCCUGGCUAAUUUUUGUAUUUUUUUGUGGAGACAGUUUUGCCACGUUGCCCAGGCUGGGAAUCUGAUUGCUUUUAUCCCCGUUUUUCCUCAAAAAAGCUAGUGUUGCAAUCUUUGUGAGUUGGUCAAGGUACCUGUGUGGGAGAUGUGCAGUCUCAACUGACAUACAUGUCAUUUCCUGCCUGUCAUUUGUGGCCAUAGCUGAUGUUUGCACAACUUCAUGGGAAGAGCAAACAUUGGUGGUUAUAAACCCUUGGGUAACAUCCAGUGCAUUUAUACCAAACUGAUGUGAGGAAAAGCACAGUAAGGUAGCAUCACCAUUCCAGGUGGUUGGUUUGACCUUAACAGUUUUAGGGGAGUAGAGCCAGCGUCUGGGAAGAACUGAAAUGGAAGCAGAGAUGGCAGUCCCUUAUGUGGCAGCAGCCCAUGUAAGAGGUGAUGUUCCUCUAUCUGCAAAGCAGAACAAAACCUUUUACCCUUUCUCCCAGAGGCCCCCUCAGCCAAGCAUCCUUCAGUGAGCAGAGAACAGGCCUCAGAACAAACUCCUUUUGGGACCCCCCUCUCAUUCUUUUUGAAUUAAGGUGGACUUUUCCUU